rnacentral:rRNA from 1 species
GGAAUAUUGCACAAUGGGGGAAACCCUGAUGCAGCAACGCCACGUGUGGGAAGAAGCAUUUCGGUGUGUAAACCACUGUCAUGAGGGAAUAAGGCCCUUAUCCGUAAGGGCUUGAAUGUACCUUGAGAGGAAGCACCGGCAAACUUCGUGCCAGCAGCCGCGGUAAUACGAGGGGUGCAAGCGUUGUUCGGAAUUACUGGGCGUAAAGGGAGCGUAGGCGGAGAUUCAAGCGGAUUGUACAAUCCCGGGGCCCAACCCCGGUUCUGCAGUCCGAACUGGAUCUCUUGGAUAGUUCAGGGGCAGGCGGAAUUCCUGGUGUAGCGGUGGAAUGCGUAGAGAUCAGGAAGAACACCGAUGGCGAAGGCAGCCUGCUGGGGACUCAUCGACGCUGAGGCUCGAAAGUGCGGGUAGCAAACA